CGCUGAGAGAUAAGUCCACCAAAUAGAUCCCUUUGCUGUCUGGGUUUUUCAAAUUCCCAGCAAAACAUCUGAAAAAAAAAAAAAAAAAGACAGAAUGAAACCUUCCUGCCAAUUGCAUUAGGUAGCCAAAGGAUCACUCCAUUAAGUCUGCUGUGCAAGCCUGCUGAAGCCUGAAGAGGAGGGUUGUGGUAGAGAUCAACCUGCAGCCUGGAGAGGUCCAUGAUAGAGGAGAGAUCCACCUGCAGCCCAUGAGGAGCCCUCACUGGAGCAGGUGGAUGCACAAAGGAGGCUGUGACUCCCAUGGGAAGCCCACUCUGGAGCAGGGAAAAAUGCUGGAAAUGUCAUCCAUCUACCCUUACGGAUGCGAGAGCAAGGUCGUUGGAUUCACAGAGCAAGAUGAUGAUGUGUGUUUUGAGUCUCGUGAGAUGCUUGUCAUGUUAAAAUACACUUAGCAAAAUGCCUCACACUGAACAAGAGAAAAAGAAAGCUGCUUUCUUUGGACAGCAGAUAUGACCUGGAUGCAGAACCUUUGCACUGUGUUCUCUGUCUCCCUUUUUCCUCUUGCACUGGCUGUGUUGGUGGGUGGGCAGUUAAGAGCAUGCCAAAACAGCCACUGUGAUGCCAUUUUCCACCAUUUCCAGCUAUUCUUAAGUAGUUUCCUAGAACUGGCUGAGCAGAGAUCAAUAAAGCUUCUUUAAGAGUAAGCCCAGGUUUCUAUUGGCAUUUCUGUCUAAGAAAUUGUAAAGAAAUGGAAAAGAAGCUUUAAUAACCCAGGUACCUAAAAACAAACAAAAAGUCUUGGAAACAGAGACAUGACAGCAUAGUUUAGUUUGUUGCAUUUUUUCUUCCCAGUUAAUGCAAGGAGGAGGGGAGGUGCGUAUUGGAAGGAAUCCAGAAGAAGGAUGAUUGAUGUCUUCUGUAGGGCAGGUGUGUGAUGGAGCCAGACACUUUGGUUCCUGCAUCGUACAGCCUGAGAAGACUGUGCUUGUCCUUCCCAUGACUGUCCAUCUAGCAUUCCCUUCUAAUGGAAACCUGAGUAGUGAGGUCCCCUUGCCUUAUAAAUGACAUUGCACCUUUGUAAACACUUCCAGUUACAGAGAUCCAGGCAGUAUCUUCUUAAUUACAGGCAGUGGCCCUGUUCCUCCACUGUUCUUCAGCCUGUGAGUGCACUUGAAGAAGUUUUCACAGGUGUUUGGGUCAAAAAACACGGUCAGGGCAUUUGUGUCCCAUGUGGCAUUAAAGAUCAAGGUUCACUUCCUAGCAAUAUGAAAUACUUUCACUGAAUGCAAUUCCUAUUACUGCAUUCACAAAAUCUUUGAUGAUGGCAGAUAUCUUAGAUAUUGCCCUCUGUAUUAAUGUUUUGGUCUUUUGUGAUUCCUACCAUGUUUGUGGAAGGGAAAGAAAUUACAGGACUGGGAUAAAUGGCACCUUGUGUCUCUAUCUGCAUUUCCCAUUCCUUCUUUCCUACUGAUGUAAAGAAGCUCAUCUUGAGUGCCCAAGCCACUCUCUUCAGUUUGACAAAUUGCAAAGUGAAUGAACAUGUUAGCUAAAGCAAAGGUGUUGAAGUUUGUAAUUUAAAAUCUAUCUCCUUCACACAAUCUGGUUGAACACAGUGAGACCUAGGAGACAGAAAGGAAAUUUUGUCUGUGCUUGACUUUGGGAGAACUUUUUCACUGAAGAGUUUUAUUACACAUAAUUUAUUUAAUUAUUUCUCAAAGCCUGGUUAACCUCCUAACUACAAUUUUUAGUGAACCUGAUUAGCAACAUCGUUAAGGUCACCUGGUAACAGCAUUGCUAUGGUAACAAUGCUGUUUAUAAGAGGGGGAAGCUGGUCUGCAGGGGAAUGGGGGAAGAAGCAGAAGAUUCAUACAAAGGAAAUCAGGGCUUUCCACCAGCAAUUGUGUGAUCUCAUGAAGAGAAGUGUCUGUCUGAGGAUUUGGAAGGGAGUAUAGUCACUGUGCCUUUUAUUGAGGAAUCUUUCAGGUGUCACAGGACUGCUAUCUCCUGUAAGAGGGAUACAGAAGAUUGUAUCUUCCAUUAAUUGUGUCUAGUUAAACAAUCAGUAUAAGUAAGGGUACUGAUAAAAUAGAGCAUUUCUAUUUCCUAAGCAAGAAUAUCCUAAGGCACACUCAAAUGAAACACCUUGCCUGUCCUCAGUUGUGCAUUGCAGAUGGGCUAUUUCUGUGGGAAAGAGCAGCAUAAAGCAAAAUAUGAUACUACAAACAAAUGAUGGGAAAAAUAGUAAUGGGAAAUUGAACUUUUCAUUCACCUUAUGAGUAAAAGCAUAUUUACACAAUGGGACACCUGGUAUUCUGCCAGAGUGAAUUAGCAAAUCAGUAUUGGUGGAACUUGAGAGAAAGACUAGGAAACUGCAUGUUUUAUUUGCAUUCUGCCAAAGGUGAUUAGAAUAGCAUGUCCUAUGCUAAUGACUUAAGCAGAAACAGAAUAUAUUCUUUAAAAAGAGAACAAAUUCUUGACUUCCUAACUGAAUAGGUUCUAUGAGCUCUAGCAUAAAUAGGAAAAAUACCCAUAUUGUUUAAUUUUACACCAUUUAUUUAGUGUUUUCAGGGAAUCUUCUCAUGAAAGAGUUACAAAAAUUUCUGCGUCCUUUUUUUCAUGAAUGUUUCUGCUGAUUCCCACAAGUCCUAGUUUCACUGUCUUUCAGCAGAGAUAGGGAUAAGAAUCCCAUGCACUGAAGAAGAGGCUGGCAAUUUGACAGAAAUUAAA